rnacentral:snoRNA from 1 species
GGCCUCCUGGUGUUUACCACAGGCUGUAUUCUUACACUGACUGUAUAAAUAAAGACUGAAAGUAAACCUACCCCAUAUAUACCUCAGCCCAGGCCCUGUGCCUGGACUGUCUUGUGAACAGGAAGACAUGG